rnacentral:lncRNA from 1 species
AGGGGCCGACCGACGACUCAACCAAGUCUCCCUGCACGACCACGCCAAACAGGCCGGGCGGAGCUUGCCGAAUCCCGUGAAUGGAGGAGACACAGAACCGAAGGCAUCUACCUACUUCUCUUCCUCUCUCUCGCUUUCCUCGCUCUUUCAGAAAGAUGAGUGAGCGUGUGUUCCUUCUGUAUAGUUGAAAUAUUUUUUAUGCGUCUAUUGACCAGUAAGAAU